rnacentral:lncRNA from 1 species
CUCCUUGAAAUGGGCUGAGUCCCUCUUGCUCACCCUUGACUUGGAAAAACCAGUUUCUCUUUUAUUGUCUGUUACUAAUCUCUAUUCUAAAAAUUCAGCUCAAUUCUCAACCAUACUCCAAACUCUCUCUUUUCCAGCUACCUUUACUCCCUCUCCUUCAAUUCCACUUUCCUCUGCUUACUUUUUUUUUUUUUCUGACAGGGUCUCACUUUGUCGCCCGGGCAGGAGUGCAGUGGCUCAAUCUUGGGCUCACUGCAGCCUCAACCUCCCAGAGGCGGGGUUUCACCAUGUUGCCCAGACUGGUCUUGAACUCCUGAGCUUAAGCAAUCCACCUGCCUCGGCCUCCCAAAGUGUUGGGAUCACAGGCGUGAGCCACCGCAUCCGGCCUCAUGUUCUUUUUCAUUAAAGAGAGAAAUCAACUAUUCAGGACCGGCCCCCACCUUUCCUCAGGAGUCAUUUCUGUUCCGCACAGGCCUGCUGAACUGGGUGCUUUAUAUAGGACACUGUCAUCUCUCAAGUACCCAUCUUGGAGGGUACGGACCCCACAUGAGGGUGAGGCUCUCUGCACACUCCAGAAAAGGACCAACCACACCGAGCUCAGUUAUGGCACACACAGUGGGACCUAGACAAAGGGAGAGGGUGACCGACAUCCCAACUAGAUUUCAGUGGAGUGAAGUUCAGGAGGCAUGGAGCUGACAACCAUGAGGCCUCGGCAGCCACCGCCACCACCGCCGCCGCCACCACCGUAGCAGCAGCAGCAGCAGCAGCAGCAGCAGCAGCAGCAGCAAGAGUAACUCUGACUUAGGAAUAGAGACAGCCAGAGAGAAAUGUGAUCAAUGAAGGAGACAUCUGGAGUGUGCGUGCUUCUUCAGAGGGACGGGUGAUGGGCAGAUUGGAAAAAGCACCGCAGAUGGGAACCUUAAUCUUUCUUUUCUAAAAUUGAUGCUAUGAAAAUUUGCGUUUUCUGUAACUUGUAAAAACUAAAAGUUGCUUGUCUACUGAAAAGC